rnacentral:lncRNA from 1 species
UCCACAGUUAAAACAAGAACCAGUAUUCCAUGGGCAAUUAGAAGACUCAUGAUCUCUUCGGUCACAUCUCGAACAUCUACCCAUCUCAUUCUCAUGAUUCUUAUCAUUUGCUGGCUUCUUUGCUGGACCCUUACGGUUCUUAUUUCAUCCUUGAGUUUCACCAAACCUAUUUCUCUUUUUCUGAUUCCGUUCUCUCUUAGCAUGUGCUUCAUUAACCUCUCUCUCAAUUUAAUGCUUUAUUCACAACUGAGGCAUAAGUAGUUAACUCAUAGGGUACAACUUGUUUUUUAAUUUCUGUCUUCAGCUCUAUUUCAAAUUUAUGUACUCUAUCUUACUCAAUUUCAAUCAAUCUUGGAACAAACUUAGCUAACUCCAUGAAUUUAGCUUCAUAUUCUGCAACGGAUCUGCUCUCUUGUUUUAAAUGAAUAAAUUCUUGCUCUUUCUGUAUUCUGACACUUCUAGGAAAGUACUUGUCAAAGAAUUCGCCUUGAAUCUCUCCCAACUGAGUGGUAUCCUAUCAUGUUCAUAUUUUUGUUUAAAUAUCCGCCACCAGUUGUAUGCCUCACUUUGUAACAGAUAUGCUAUGUAGCGGAUCUUCUCAUCAUCAUGGCAUUCUUGUACGACAAAUGCCUUCUCCAUCUCCAUAAUCCAGUUGUCAGCUUUUAGUGGCUCGAUGGUCCCUUUGAAGGCUAGAGGAGCCAACUUCUUAAACUCCACGAUAUUGUUCCUCUGCACUGGAUAUUCUCC